UACGUAGGGUGCGAGCGUUGUCCGGAAUUAUUGGGCGUAAAGAGCUUGUAGGCGGUUUGUCGCGUCUGCCGUGAAAUUUCGGGGCUCAACCCCGAACUUGCGGUGGGUACGGGCAGACUAGAGUGUGGUAGGGGAGACUGGAAUUCCUGGUGUAGCGGUGAAAUGCGCAGAUAUCAGGAGGAACACCGAUGGCGAAGGCAGGUCUCUGGGCCGUACCUGACACUGAUGCGCGACAGCAUGGGGAGCAAACAGG
rnacentral:rRNA from 1 species